rnacentral:rRNA from 1 species
CAGACCUCUAAUCGGAAAAGACCACCCACUGAGUUUAAGCAUAUCAAUAAGCGGGAGGA